AACCUUACUGCAACAAUACUUCUAUUAGAUGUUGAUUAGAAUAAGGUCUUUGUAACCUAUAAAUUGACAUUCUAUUAUUGACAUUCUAUUUUUCACAAUAGUAAAAUAGUAAAAAAUGAAAUAAAUCUUUUCACCAAAAAUAAAUGAAAUAAAUCAAUACCUUUAAAUUAGUGUUCCAUUCUUUAAGACAUUAAGUUACAAUGUUUUCUGUUGAAAUAUACAGCUUGUACAAGCCCGUUUGACCCCCCUAGCCCAAAACCCUCAAGCCCAAUACCCAAACAAAAGCCCAAAUAACUCCCGGGCCCAAAUAACCUUAACCCUAGCCUAAAUUAACAAAUCAGAAACAAAAGGACAAAAAAAACCUAGCUGCUGCCUCCCCGUGCCAGGUCUGCCACCGUCUGUCACGUCCACCGCCUCACCGCCCAAGUUGCACCUGCAAGCAUUAAUAGGAGUGGACAGAAGCAAGAAAGAUAAUGGCAUACUCGGCUAUAUAUAGCCAAAUAGAAUGUAAAAAGGGACCUUUUUUUUUUUCUCUUUUAUUCAAAAACAAAUAGCCUCAAUAUACAAAAUUUCAGCAAGAAACAUCACAAACCGAAGCAAAGGUCUAUAUACUUUCCUUUUUUAUUUUUAUUUUUUCUCUUCUUUUGUCGAAUUUGUUUGCAUAUAAUCUCUAUAAACAACACAUGCAUAUUAGAUAAAUAUAUAAAAUAGCAAAAAAAUAAUAUAAAAAAAUCUUACCUUUGGGAGAUUUUCGGCCACCGUCUACGGUGGCUGGCACGGCGGGCCACUCGCCGGAUUCUGGGCUCCCCCAGAGAGAAUUCGAGCCCCUUCCCCCUUCCUUUCUUUAAAACCCAGAGAAAAUGAGCUUCUGCUCAGAUUUUUUUUUUGUUUUUAUACCCUCUUUAUACGGCGUCGUUUUGAACUAGUUACCUAGGCGUCAAACGGCGUCGUUUUGACGCGAAUCGGACUGACCCGACCCGCUAACCGUGGGAUCCGCGUGUUUUCAUUACUUUUGGGUUAUUUACGCAACAAGCCCCUUUGUUUUGUAGCGUAUAUCGAUUAGGUUCUAUGCUGAUUUUUGUUCCUUUUAAUUUGGCUUGGAUAUUUAAUUUCGAAUUCGAUCUGGUCCUGAGACCAUUUAAACACGUAUUUUGGAACAGUGCCGUUGGGCGAUAGGGUACAAUUUCCAAAUGGGUCCCUAUGAUGUGGCGUGUAUUUUAAUGGGGUCCUUACACGUUUAUUCCUUGGUCUUUAUUACCUAUGAUUUUAUUUUUGUUCUGAUUAAGUCUCUACUUCAUCCAAUUUUAACCCUUAUUUAUUCGUUUAUUUUAUUAUUCUAUAUUUAAAUUAUUUAUUAUUCAUUAUUUAUAUUAAGUUAUCUUAUUAUAUAUAUUUUUAAUAUAUAUUAUCUUAUAUGUAUUAUUUAUUUUAAACCCUUUUUAAAUUUUUUUGGUGCCUUUUAUUUUAUUAUCAUCAUGAAAAAGGGUCAUUUUAUUAUUUCUCUAAGAUUAUUAUUCAAAAUAUACAACUUAUUUUAUACUAAUAUAUAUGUAUCGUAUAUGCUUUUGUAUUAGGUCUAUAUUCUUAGUAUUAUUAGUUAUAUGUUUAUCCUAUUUCAUGUACAUAUUAUGUAUAUACAUGUAAUUAUUAUAUAUUUGUUUUCUAUAUGUAUUUAUGUUUUAUUUUAUUUAUUUAUUAUUAUCAUUAUUAUAGAAUAGCGUAUUUAUAUAUAUAUACGUAUCUAUGUAUAUAUUUAUCCAUAGUAAUAUUAUUUAUUUUACUUUAAUAUUAUGGUUAUUAUCAUCAUCUUUAUAAUUACUAUUACCAUUAUAUUAUUACUUUUUUACUACCAUUAUUUUUUUUUACAUAUAUAUAUACAUCAUUAUUUGCAUUAGUACCAUUUUUAUUACUAUUACUUUAUUACGGCUACUACUAGUAUUACUAUUAUUUCUUUAUUAUUUUAUUACUGUUAUUAUUUUAUUUUCUUUUUUAUUUCAUUAUGCUGCUCUUAUUUUAUUAGCAUAUUAUUUUUAUCAUCUUUAUUAAUACAUUUUUUACCUUUUGUCAACAUUGUUAUUGUUUUUACUAUUUUAUAUAUUACUUAUUUAUUUAUUGAUUUAUUAUUAAGUUUCCUUUUUUACUUAUUCUUCUUAUUCUUAUUUAUUUUUAUUUUUAUUUUUAUCAUGUUAUUAUUUUACCUAUUAUUCUCUUCUUCAAUUACGUAGCUUGUUUAUUUCUUUCAUUCUUUGUCAUUCAUAUUACUCAUUUAUUAUUAUGCUUGUUAAGAUCAUGAUUUAUUUCUUUUCGUUUUCACAAAUUUUCGUUAUAUCAUCCAGUACCCAACAAAAAUAAUCCUUUCAUAAAAAUAAUACUCCGUAUUCGGAAAUUCGAGAUAAUCGUACCCUAACUUACUGGGUUUCGACUUUUCUCAUUUAACCUAAAUAACGGAAUAUUCUUUUUAAAUCACGAUACAAGUAUUAAAAAUACUUAUUUUCGGAGAUACGAAGCGUGGUGCCCUAACUUACCGGGUAUGACACUUUGAAACUUCGAAACAAGAUCUUUUACAAGUAAAGGCAAUGUUCGGUGUUCGGGAAUUCGAGGAAACGUGCCUUAACUUACUGGGUCUCGAUCUUCCUCGUUCACCCUAACUAACCAAAUAUCCUUUUAAAAGAGGUCAAAAUAUAUUUAUUUUAAAUACAAGGCAAGCUCAUUCUCAAAAGUUCGAGAUGCCGUAUCCUAACUCACUGGAUAUAACAUGUCGUUGCCUUGAGACGAGAAUGUCUUUGACAUUUUGUAACACCCCAAACCCGGCCCAGACGUUAUGGCCGGAUCCGACAUGCCACAUCGAAGCGUUCAAAACAUUUUAUAUUGUUGAUCCAAAAAAACCUACUUAGUGUUUUAAAAGAUAAUUUCAUUAUAGGUUAAAGUGAAUGGAAGCUGUGCACCAGGUAGGAAACCGGAAAAGAGGUGGUGAGUCCAUCGGACUGCUUAAGUACCAAGCUCCCUUCGGAUCCAAUCCUAGACAUGCAUACCGCCAUUGCCACACCUUAACGUCAUGGAUAUUUCUAGGAAACCGAUUUGAUUAAGUCAUUUUUUAAGAAAAGUGAUUAAUUUUGGAAAAUACUUUCAUUGCGGAAGCUUUGCUUGUUGUCGUGUUAUUUUGAAAUCAACUGUUGUUUUUGAAAACGCACCCUAAAGCUAUCCAAUUUCAACAUUUAAAAUAAGUAAUACCUAUCUUAGCAAUACAUAUUAAAACCAUCAAAAAUAAUUAAGCGGCCUUAUUACAUUUAAAAACCCAAAACUUCAAACGUAAAUAAAAGGAUGUCCAGUUCACCAGAAGAAAAUCAAACUUCCAGAACGGGUGGCCACUUCGAAUUCCCUCACAGCUCCAAGCCCACUAUGGUUGGGGAUUUCCUGCGUGGAUGAAAAUAAAAGGGGUGAGUUUGGGGAAACUCAGUGUGUAAGGAAAACCCAUUCAAAGCCCAAGUCAGCUCAAGCUUAUUGGGCCUAAGCCCAUUCAGGUAACAGUGGUACUAGGCCAGAGCCCUUUUCAGAUUACAAUAAACUGGGCCUUAGCCCAUUAUUCAGAUAACAGUAUGGCCCAUAGGCCCAUUUCAAAGUACAUGCAACAUCAAUAAACAUAUGCAAGCCCAUUUGGGGAGACUACUCAACCCACCAACCACUACACUCCACCCGUACCAGCCAUACACUCCAUGUGGGGAAUAGCUCAACCCACCCAGCCCAACACUCCACGGCUGCAGCCUUGCUGCUCAGUUAACAGUAAAUUGAGGCAAAGCCUCCAGUAUGUGGACAAGCCACUUUCAGUACUUCCUCCGUCAAUAUCCCAAUCCCAUGCAUCAGAUAAUAACAACAUGGCAUGCAGUAAAUAACAAUAGUCAAACAUGCAUUUAGGUCAAUUUAACCCUAGGGGUAUUUUGGUAAUUUAUCUACUAAGGGUAAAAUUGUAAAUUUUCCACUUUUAAAGGUAUUUCAGUAAUUUAUCUAUUUUAGGGUUUUUCAUGCAUAUUCCUACUUUUCACGUACUAAUAGAAUCAUGUACCGAGGGUUCUUACCGAAUUGGGCCCGUUGGCCCAUCAUUCCAAUUUUGGCCCAUUAAGCCCAAAAAUAUCGAGGGCACAAAAAUCAUGCACUUUGCAGUCCAAAUUUUGCAACUUACCAAAAACAUUAAUCGAUUUACCUCACGAGCAUUCGCACACUCGCAAAUCUACAAAAUAUCAGUUUUCGGCAUUUCGGCUUUUCGACUUUUGCCGAUCCAGACUAAGAAAGAGGGUGUUAGUUACACACCUGUUUGCGACGAUAUGCUGACGAGAUCCACACACGAACCGCCUACAAUUGGAUUAUUAACACGUUAAUCUAACUAUUCAAAUACAAACUACGUAUUAACCCCUUACAAUAUUCGGCCAACCACACCUACAGAUCAUAGUAAGCUUAUAAGAAAUCAAUAAGCAACUCAUUAACAAAUUUUUGUCAAUGUUUACCACAUAAUCAUAAUUUCACUGCAAGCUGUCUUCCUGAGCAACAGUCACUAAAUCAUUUAUAAUUGGAGUUACGAAACUCCAAAUCAAGUGCCGUUAAUUUUCCCUGAAAAUAGACUCAUAUAUAUUCUAUCCAUAAAAUUUUCAGAAUUUUUGGUUUGGCCAAUCAAUACCAGAUUUUUCUUAAAGUUUCCCAUGUUUCACUGUUUGACUAAUCUGACCACUCUUCAUUACGAAUCAAAUUUCUCAUUGUACAGAAUUCAAAAUAUGUUCCCGUUUAUUCCAUUUGAAACUAGACUCAUUAAGCUUUAAUUACAUAAUUUAUGCAGCUUCUAACUCCUCUUCCACAAUUUAUGGUGAUUUUCCAAAGUCACGUUACUGCUGCUGUCUCAAGCAGAUUUAUUACCAAAUCACUCUUUCACACCUAACUUGCAUGCUUGUUAUUUAAACAUGUAUAUCACCAAUCAAUCAUCACAUAUCUAUGAUUUUACUUAAGUAUAAUCUCCAUUUCAUCAUUUUAAAGCACAACAUGUUAGCCGAUUUUUCCCCUUAGCAUCUAAGGCACAUGCAUGCUCAGUUGUUUGGCUCAACUUCACCUAUCUUCCAUUUUUCAUCAAAAGAACAUGAAACAACAACCAUUUCCUUCAUUUUAAUUCAUGACUAAAUGCUCACAACACAACUAAAAACCAAAAUAUGCUUCAAGAGUUAAGGUAGAAUCAAGAAGAACUCAUGAACAUCAAGAUAGAAGCAAACUACCAUGAACUUACCUUCAAUUUUUUUCCCCAAGUGACCAAACAUUUAAGAGCUUUCUCCUCUCCUUUGUCUUCUCUAACUUUAGGCUAUGAUGAACAAAGAUGGACAAAACUUUGUUCUUUUCACCCAUUUUUCUUUUAAUAAAAUUUCAUAUUUCAUCCAUUUAAUUCUUUAAUACAAAAGACAUGAAAUUCCCAUCAUGGAACAUUUACCUAAACCAUUAUCAUGGAACAUUUACCUAACCCAUUAUCAUGGAAUAUUUACCUAAUCCAUUGUCAUGGAACAUUUACCUAACCCAUUAUCAAUUUGUAUCAAUUUGUACCAUAAAUUAUGGAUAUCAAGUGCUCAUAUUGUCUACAACAACAUGAUGGCUAGCCACUUCAUGUAAAAUGGGAGGUUUGUCAUGCAAAUCCUCCUAUUUUGCACUCCUAUUUAUUUGGCCACUUCAAUUUAGCCUAUAGCAUUUUCAAACAUUUUCACAUAGGUUUUAUUUCAUAAUUUCACCCCCUUUUUCUUAUGGAACAAAAAUUAACUAAAAUUGCCGGGUUCUAUCUUAAGCUUGGGCCUUCUAGAGGCCCACUAACAUAAUUAAACCUAUGCCAACAUUCACAAAAUUCCCGAAAAUUGGGGUGUUACACAUUUCAAUGUUCACUUUACAAAAAAGGAUCGUAUCAUAAAUUCUUUCAAGUUUUCAAUCUUCGACACUAAGACACUAAUUAAUCAACUAGGUACCAGUUUUGGGCGUAUCGAGGGUGCUAAUCCUUCCUCGUGCGUAACCGACUCCCGAACCUGUUUUCUUGAUUUGCGUAGACCAAAAUUGUUGUUUAAAUAAAUCAAGUUAUUUAUUAAAAAUAACCACUUUAACGAGGUGAUCCGAUUACACCUAGUCAAAAAGGAUCGGUGGCAACUCCCGUUUUUUGUGUUCAUUUUCAAAAUCCAAGUCGAUUCCCCCUUUUUUUCAAAAAAUGGUUACGACAGCUUGACAACUCCAUUGGGGAUACGAAUGAGAGAGUCAAGCCACAAGUUGAUUAACUCUUGUCUUUUUAUCGAAAAUUGAAAAUUUGGUUUUGAAAUACGAUCCUUUCAUUGCAUUUCAUCAGCUAUUUUUGUGGUACAAUACCUGCUGCGUUGGUUCGAGUCUUUAAAUAAUUUUGCAUAUUGCAUUGCAUGACCGCUGUGGUCACACCCCUUUAAGUGGGAGUGAGAAACUACUCCUUCGUGAGGUUUUCACCUCCGUGCAGGAUAGUGGAUCGCUUUCGGGAUACAUCCGUACCUAUGUCUUCGUGAGAUUUUCAUCUCCGUGCAGCCAUAGCGAAAUGUAUCCCCCUGAACUGAACUCAGUCUGUAUGAGCCUAUAAUGGGUGAAGAUCGAGGAAUCCGCUGGUUCAGGUACCCUUACUCUAGAACCAAACCCCAUAUAGCGAGCCUUAGGAACCCACCUUAGGUAGAGCCACUCCAAAACCCUAGUAGUUACUUGAGCAAGUGCUAUAUUUAUUAUUCUUUGUUUGCUUUGAACUGCGUGUAAAUUACUGACUUGCUUUGUUUUACUUUGAUUAUAUUUGCAUGGCAUUUUCAUUGUAAAAGGUGUUGAUUCGCAUUUUGUUCCUAAAUAGAUAGCUUAUCAUGGAAAAGGGGUUUUUUGAUAAAGUAGAAGACAACGCGGUUGUCCGGAUAUGGGCUGAGACAACACAACAAGAGAAAGGCGAUAGUCUUACCGAGGGGUACGUGUCAGAGUUAUGGAAUUUUACUCGGAUCAGCGUAACUCAGAAUAAUCUCCAAGAGAUGAAAGAAAUUUGGGGUCAGUGGGAUGAUGAGGUCAAACAACUAUUCUAUUGCCAUUACGGUGAUUUACCUUAUUUGCUCGAUGUCAAGGUAGAUGAACACCUGUUUCGAGCCCUUGCCCAAUAUUGGAAUUCCGCUUACAGUUGCUUCACUUUCGGGAAAGUAGAUUUGGUACCUACUAUAGAAGAAUACACGACCUUGCUCCAUUGCCCAAAGAUUCAGGUUGACAGAAUUUAUGCCAGACCUGCUAAUGUCCUAACAUUUUCAAAAAAGCUAAUGAAUAUCACAGGGAUGAGCGAACAGUGGGUGACAACCCGGAUCAAACAAAAAGGAGAUUGUAAAUGCAUUCCUUGGAGGAACCUGAGGGAUCUAGUCUUAGCGCACCCCGACAUGAAGAAAAGGGUAGAUGUCUUCGCCUUGAGCAUUUAUGGACUGGUCAUCUUCCCUAAAGCUUUGGGGCAUGUAGACGAGGCUGUUGCUGACCUUUUUGACAGGCUUGGUAAAGGAACCACACCUGUACCCGCAAUCUUGGCUGAAACUUUCAGAUCAUUAAAUGCUUGUAGAAGAGCGGGUGAAGGGAAAAUUAUUGGAUGUGCACAACUCUUGCUAUCCUGGUUCCACAGUCAUUUUUGGAAAGUGGAAAAGGUCUCGUAUCGUAUCUUCUCUGAAAAUUACUCUCCGCUGAAAGAGUUAGUGGCUACACCGAGGCGAGAUGAUGUGACAGAAGAAAAUUGGAUGACGGUUCUCCAAAAUCUGCAAGAAGAAGAUGUUGAAUGGAGAGCCCCAUGGAUGGUUCCUGAUGAAAUAUUAUACUGAUGCGGAGACUUCGAUUGGGUUCCCUUGUUAGGAGUAUGGGGGGCCAUCGGGUAUGCUCCUCUGCUUGCAUUGCGACAGUAUAGAUCCCGACAGUUUACACCACCAACAUACGGGUUAGCCCAGUGCGAGUUCGUGUUCACAGGGAAUAAUUACAAAAAGAAAGUUCGCGAGAUAUCAAAUGCCUGGAACCAGACUCGUAGAAUGAAGAAGUUUGCUGCCAAUCCCAUGACUACUCCUUAGUACGACCGAUGGUGGAAUCAGAGGAUUAACGACAACAUCCCUACAUCAGAUUAAGGGAAUCCUCAGCCGAUAGAAGAGCACUUGAAAGUAAUCCCAUCUGAGCUAGAAAUCAUCAAGCAAGAUUUCGAGAGAAAGAGUCUGGAGCUAGAAAAAAGGAUCGAGCAGUUCGAAGAAGAAAAGAUGCAGUUAGGGUUAGAUGUCGAUGUCCAGAAACUAGAAGCUGAAAAACUCAGAAAAAGGGAAAAACAAGGCUGAAGAGGAUUUAGACAGUUUGAAAACGGACUAUAAGAAGCUGCGCAGAUCAAUGAGAACCGCUGGGUUAGGAAAAACAUCCGAACAAUGGCAACAUGAAGUUAAAGAAUAACAAAGCAAAGCCAACCAGUGGGAGAAAAAAUUUCGCGAUGCUUAAGCUCGAGAAGGUGCUCUGAAAAGAAGUUUAGUAGAAAGCCAGAAUGAGAAAGAAGGGUUAAAGAUCCGGGUAUCAGAGUUAGAGAGGUCAUUGUAUCAGUAUCGCUCGCGUAACUCUGCAAUGGAGUUGAAAGCUAGUCAGAACAGAAUCGAAGAAUUAAAAGAAAAUAUAGAAGAACUCAAAACAGCGCUGCAAAAUCGUGAACUUCAGAUAGAACUCCUCGAGGUAAAUAACGAGCGAUGGAAGGAGCAACUUCAUCAAUCUCAAGACCAAGUCAGGAGCAGGGACUACGUCAUGGGCGAAGCUUUGACUCAAGUGCGAGAAGUGGCUGAUCACUUGCAAACAUUAGCAGUACAAGCCGAUGUGCUGAGUUUAAAAUACGAGUCAGAAUUAGACCGAGGAUGAAAGCUAGCUUGGCUUCUUAGGUAGGUCAAGGCCUUAAGUAUCAGGGCCAAGCCUUAUAUGUAAUCUAUUUUAUGUAAAGAAACUUUUUUUCUAGAAAAGUUACUCUAAUGAAAUCGAAUUGGAAUCAACGCUUUUGCAUUCAUCGCAUUCAUUGCAUUCAUGCAUCAGCAUUGCAUCAUACGCAUUAAAACUCACAAGGAACCCUAAAAAUCAUGGCAGUUACCCUGGAACAUCGUUACGGUACAAGGGAAAAAACAAGAGCAAUGGACCAAAGGUUAGAGAGAUUGGAACAAAUGUAAAAAGAGAUGCAAGAUCAAUUACAAGCACGUAUGCAAGAACAGCUUGCCAAAAUCCAGCAAGAUAUGAGGGACCACAUGUUGGAGUCCCAGAAAAGCAUGAUAGACCAAUUAACUCGUCUAUUGGUUGGCGGAUUAGAAAAAGGGAAAAGCCCUUUGAUCAAUGUGGGAGAAGAUAAUGAAGAUCCUACCUACCCUCCGGGUUUUGCCCCAGCAGACGUUCAGAUACAACCUGAUAUGUACCCAAGAAGGCCAUCAGUCACAAUUAGGCCCCAACCAUUUCAGGCUGGUGUUUCGGCACUGAUAAAUUAUCAGGCCGGCUCGGGCUCUAAUCCGGGAGAUAACCCGACCAAUCCUGUGGUCCUCAAUCUCGAUAAAGUAACAGAAGCAGAAAAGACAAGGGUAGAACUCCUGAGAGAGCUUGAAGAAAGGUGUAGAUGGUUGGAAGAAAAAUUUAAAGAAAUGGAAAGCACCGACUAUCGUGGUGGAAUCGAUGCUAAGGAAUUAAGUUUGGUUCCGGACUUGAUAAUCCCUUCCAAGUUCAAAACUCCGGAAUUUGAGAAAUACAACGGGACUAGCUGUCCUGAAGUUCACAUCACUAUGUUCUGCAGACGAAUGGCAGGCCAUGUUAAUAAUGACCAACUAUUAAUUCACUGCUUCCAAGAAAGUCUGGUUAGGGCUGCUUCUAGAUGGUACAACCAGCUGAGUCGCGCCCAGAUCAGUUCAUGGAAAGAUUUAGCACAAGCCUUCAUGAAGCAGUACGGUCAUGUGGCAGACAUAGCCCCUGAUAGAAUCACUUUACAGAAUAUGGAGAAGAAGCAUAAUGAGAGCUUUAGGCAGUACGCCCAGCGAUGGAGAGAAGUGGCCACACAGGUCCAACCCCCUCUGUUGGAAAAGGAAACCACUAUGCUCUUCAUCAAUACCCUGAAGGUACCUUUUAUUAACCACAUGCUGGGUAGCGCAACCAAGAGUUUUUCGGACAUAGUAAUGUUUGGAGAAAUGAUAGAAAAUGCCAUAAGAUGUGGGAAAAUAGAGGCUGGAGAAAACGCUAAGAGGUCAGCGCCGAGAAAGAAAGAGCACGAGGUGAAUAAUGUGAGCUCAUAUUCGAAAUCGAUCACCGUAAGCCAACCAAGGUCGACAACUACUGGACAGCAGGGCCCACCCAGACAAGAGCCCAACACAAAACAAAAUAGGAAGAAACUUUAAUUUACGCCCAUUCCAAUGACGUACAAGGAGUUAUACCAGAGUUUAUUUGAUGCACAUGUCGUGUCUCCCUUCUAUCUAAAGCCAAUGCAACCUCCAUACCCCAAAUGGUAUGACGCAAAUGCCCAAUGCGAAUUCCAUGCGGGAGCCACAAGACACUCGAUAGAAAACUGCACCACUUUUAAGAAAUUGGUUAAAAGACUCAUCAACAUGGGGAUUGUGAAAAUUGAUGAUACAUCCAAUACAGAGAACCCAUUACCUAACCAUGGGGAUAAAGGAAUAAAUACGAUAAUCGAGUGUUCGAGGAAAGAAAUUAAGAUGAGUAUUGCAGAAGUGAAUACCCCGUUGGAGGAAGUUUGGAAGAAAAUGGUGGAAAGAGGAUUGAUAGCACAGAACUCAAGGGUCAGACCUCGAGAAGCGAAGAAUUAUUGUGAGUUCCACGAUCAAGAGGAUCAUAAGAUUCAGAAAUGCAGCCAAUUCAAGGCUUUAGUACAAGGAUUGAUGGAUAAUAAGGAGCUGAAAUUCUUCAAAUAUGUCGGGAGCCUGGAAGAAGCAGAUGUGUAUGCCUCCGAAGAGGGGUCGACGAAGAAUGUUUACAAAGUCAACCACCCAGUGGUUAUCAUAUCACGUCCGAGAAUGAAUGAAGCUGGGGCACGAGUUGCGCCAAAGGUCGUGAUCCAAAAGCCCGUUGCUUUUCCUUAUAAAGAUAGCAAAAGGGUACCGUAGAACUAUAGCUACAAUGUGACAUUCUCGGGAGAGGAGACCCCGAUUAAUACAUCAGAGGAAAUUCAAGACGAAGGUUUUUAUAUGCGCAGCAGAAGGCGUUAUACCCCAAAUACAAAAAUCGAGCAGGUUAAAGAAAAAUCAUUAGCAAUUGAGCAAAAAAAAGAGAAGCCGGCGGGGCCUGAACCAACUGUUAAUGAAUCAGUGACUGAAAAAGAAGCCAAGGAAUUCUUAAAAUUCCUAAAGCACAGCGAAUAUAGUGUCGUAGAACAGUUGCACAAACAGCCAGCGCGUAUAUCGGUACUGGCCUUACUUUUAAGUUCCGAAACCCAUCGCAGCGCAUUGAUGAAGGUGCUGAAUGAAACUUAUGUUGCUAACGAUAUCUCUGUAAACAAACUAGACCAUUUAGUCAACAAUAUAAGUGCCGACAACUUCAUAUUCUUGAAUGACGAUGAGGUACCUCCAGGGGGCCGAGGAUCAACUAAAGCUUUGCACAUCACGACUCGCUGUAAAGGGUACGCGUUACCGGGGGUAUUGAUUGACAAUGGGUCUGCACUGAAUGUCCUACCCCUAUCUACGCUGAGUAGGUUGCCAGUGGAUAGUUCCCAUAUGAAGAAAUGCCAAAGUGUAGUGAGAGCAUUUGAUGGCACGGAAAGGAGGGUAAUGGGGAGAAUUGAAGUACCCCUCUUAAUCUGGCCGAGCACAUACGAGGUAGAUUUCUUGGUCAUGGACAUUAAGCCUUCGUAUAAUUGCCUAUUGGGGAGGCCAUAGAUACACUCAGCGGGGGCAGUCCCUUCAUCGCUGCAUCAAAAGUUGCAAUUAGUGACCGAAGGUCGGUUAGUAACAAUCAAUGCUGAAGAGGACAUCAUCGCGGCAAUAACCAGUGAUGCCCCAUAUCUGGAGGCAAAUGAUGAAGCGAUCGAGUACUCUUUUCUAUCUUUGGAGUUUGUGAACGCGACGUUCAUCAUUGAAGGAAAUAAGAUUCCAAUGCCCAGGUUAUCUGAGACUACAAGAAUGGGACUACGGUUAACUAUUGGAAAAGGGGCUCUACCUGGAAGAGGACUCGGGAGAUACCUCCAGGGAAGGAUUAAUGUACCAAUGAUGAAGGACAAAUAAGACCGUUUUGGGUUAGGGUUUAAGCCGGACAUGAAACAAAGAAAGAAGGAACUUGAGAAGAAACAGGAAAGAAGGAGAGCGCGAUUGAGCGCGGGAGAAAUCGAAUGGGAACCAAUGAUCUUCCCUCAUAUAUCGAAGAUUUUUGUGUCUGGAGGGGUCAUUCACUUCGAGCGAAAGACGUCGGGAAAGGAAAUCUUGGAAGGAAUGAUGGAGAGUUUGGACAUCAACGCCACAUAUGAAGAAGGGACGGGGGUAGAGAAUUUGUCAGGCAUUCGCCCCUAUGAGCCAGGAAGUGUUCUGAAUAAUUGGAUUGCGGAAGAGAUUCCUGUAGUCUUUAGAACUAACUCAGAGUAAUGUCUAAAACACACUUAUUGCUCUAGGCCUAGGAGUAACAAGUGUCCUUUUGUGAAAUAGGCUUAUGUUCGAAAUCGUUAUAUUAAUAAAAUGCAUCAUUUUGACUUAUUCCAUGCAAAUAUUCUUUUAUUCUUUCAUUCAUGAUCAUACCACACAUAUAAUUGUUCUUAGGUUCUCUUGUUCUUUGCAUCUUCCUUCACACCUACAACAGGUCUCCAGAUAUCAAUGAUGCGAGUGACAUUGCUACUAAUUCAGAAUCUCCUUUUGAGCGAGAUAUGUGUCUGGAGGGAUCCCAAGACUUUGAGGAUGACGGAGACCGUAACUUAUCCCCUGAUUUGUUAAGGAUGGUAGAACACGAGGAGAAAUAGAUUCUACCCCACAAAGAGACUGUAGAAGUCGUGAAUUUGGGAGAUGAACUAGAAAGGAGAGAAGUAAAGAUCGGAGCUUGCAUCACCAUAGAGACAAAGCGGGACCUUAUUGAGUUACUCCAAGAGUUCAAGGAUGUCUUUGCAUGGUCAUAUCAGGAUAUGCCUGGGCUAAGUACUGACAUUGUGGUACACAGGCUCCCCAUCAAAGAAGAAUGCAAGCCAGUUCAGCAAAAGCUUCGAAGGAUGCGGCCCGAUAUUCUGUUGAAAAUAAAAGAGGAGGUUAAGAAGCAAUUUGAUGCUGGUUUCUUAUAGGUAGUUAAGUACUCGGAAUGGGUAGCCAACAUCGUCCCCGUCCCUUAAAAAAGAUGGAAAGAUACGGAUGUGUGUAGACUACAGAGACUUAAACAUGGCCAGCCCGAAAGAUAAUUUCCCGUUGCCUCAUAUCGACACCUUAGUGGACAACACGGCAGGUUACUCACUCUUCUCCUUCAUGGAUGGCUUCUCGGGGUACAAUCAGAUCAAGAUACAUCCUGAAGACAUGAAUAAAACGACAUUUGUGACUAUGUGGGGAACCUUUUGUUAUAAAGUAAUACCGUUCGGAUUGAAAAAUAUGGGAGCAACAUAUCAAAGAGCCAUGGUAACCCUAUUUCAUGAUAUGAUGCAUAAAGAAAUUGAAGUCUAUGUCGAUGACAUGAUCGAUAAAUCUUAGACAGAAUGAGAGCAUGUGCAAGUCUUGAGGAAAUUAUUUUUGAGGUUGAGAAAAUUCCAGUUGAAACUCAAUCCCGCAAAAUGUACCUUCGGAGCCAGGUCAGGAAAACUGCUAGGAUUCGUGGUCAGUAGAAAAGGGAUUGAGAUUGACCCAGACAAAGUUAAAGCCAUACAAGAGUUACCUCCACCACGUACUCAGAAGGAAGUUCGAGGAUUCCUAGGAAGACUAAAUUACAUCACUCGGUUUAUUUCACAACUAACCGAGAAAUGUGACCCUAUAUUCCGUCUCCUUAAGAAACACAACCCUGGUGGUUGGGACGAGGAAUGCCAGAAGACUUUCGACAAAGUUAAGCAAUAUUUGUCUAAUGCCCCAGUGUUGACACCACCUAAUCCAGAUAAGCCACUGAUACUGUAUUUGACGGUAUUUGAAAAUUCUAUGGGAUGCGUGCUUGGCCAACACGAUGAAUCGGGAAGGAAAGAAAAAGUGAUAUAUUACCUCAGUAAAAAGUUUACUGAGUGUGAGACGAGAUACUCGUUCAUUGAAAAGUUGUGCUGUGCCUUGAUCUGGAUAACCUGAAGACUGAGACAAUACAUGUUGUACCAUACAACUUGGCUAAUCUCUAAAAUGGAUCCUCUGAAAUACUUGAUGGAGUCGACUGCCUUGAACGGGAGAAUGGCCCGAUGGCAAAUUCUACUUUUUAAAUUCGAUAUAGUCUAUGUGAACUAGAGGGCCAUAAAAGGGAGUGCGAUAGUAGAUUUCCUAGCCAGCAGAGCCCUAGAAGACUACGAGCCUCUGAACUUUGAUUUCCCAAAUGAAGAUCUAAUGUGCAUAGCAACCACUGAAGAAGACCCUCAAGAAGGUCACCCUUGGAAGUUAAACUUUGACGGAGCAUCAAAUGCUGUGGGUAACGGAAUCGGGGCAGUUUUGGUGUCCCCGAACGGAGAUCAUUAUCCAUUCACUAGUAAAUUGGAUUUUGACUGCACGAACAAUAUGGCAGAAUAUGAAGCAUGCAUCAUGGGAAUACGUGUGGCCAUAGAACGUAAAAUCAAGGUGUUAGAGGUAUAUGGAGAUUCUGCCCUAGUGAUUUAUCAACUCAAAAGUGAAUGGGAGACAAGAAACCCCAAAUUGAUCAAUUACCGGAGGUUGAUCCUUGAGUUAAUUAAAGAGUUUGAUGAUAUUGUCUUCUACUAGCUCCCACGAGAAGAAAAUCAGAUGGCUGACGCCCUAGCAACUUUAGCUUCUAUGAUUAAGGUAAACCAACCAGAGGAUGUGAAACCAAUCCAAAUGAGCAUUUACGAGGCCCCAGCUCAUUGUUACAACCUCGAAGAAGAAGAGGAAAAUGAUGAUCACCCUUGGUACCACGAUAUCCUACGAUUUGUGAAGAAUCGUGAGUACCCCGACCAAGCUACUGAGAACGACAAAAGAACGUUGAGAAGACUGGCCAGUGACUAUGUCUUAGACGAGGAGAUCCUAUACAAAAGAAGAAAGGAUCAGGUACUGUUAAGAUGUGUAGACGCUAUUGAGGCUAAGAAAAUCUUGGAGGAAGUCCAUGAGGGCGUCUGCGGGACACAUGCUAAUAGUUUUACAAUGGCCAGGUAAAUUAUGAGGUUCGGUUAUUAUUGGUCCACCAUGGAAGGAGACUGUAUUAACUACACCAAAAGAUGUCAUAAGUGCCAAAUCUAUGGAGACAAGAUUAAUGUACCUCCCUCACCUCUACAUGUCAUGACUUCGCCAUGGCCUUUCUCGAUGUGGGGCAUGGAUGGGAUUGGGCCAAUUUCGCCAAAAGCUUCAAAUGGGCAUCGUUUCAUCUUUGUGGUCAUCGAUUAUUUCACCAAAUGGGUGGAGGCCGCUUCAUAUGCCAAUGUCACUAAAUCAGCAGUUAGCAAGUUCCUGAAAAAGGAAAUCAUCUGUCGAUAUAGAAUGUCGAAAAGGAUCAUAUCUGACAACGCAUUGAAUUUGAACAAUAACACGAUAGCGGAUGUCUGCAGUCAGUUCAAGAUCAGACACUAUAACUCAUCACCGUAUCGCCCGAAGAUGAACGGUGCAGUCGAAGCAGCCAAUAAGAACAUCAAGAAGAUUGUAGGAAAGAUGAUAGAAACUUACAAAGAUUGGCAUGAGAAGCUACCAUUCGCCCUUUAUGCUUAUCGAACGUCUAUCAGAAAUUCUACUGGGGCAACACCUUUUUCAUUAGUCUAUGGAAUGGAGGCAGUUUUACCUAUCGAGGUCGAGAUUCCUUCCCUAAGAGUUUGUUAGAAGAAAAGUUGGAUGAAUCAGAAUGGAUCCAGUCCCGAUAUGAUCAGUUGAAUUUGAUUGAAGAAAAGAGGCUACGGGCUAUUCGCCAUGGUCAGAUGUACCAAAAGCGAAUGAUGCAAGCUUACAACAAAAAGGUUCGUCCCAGAGAGUUCCACGAGGGAGACCUAGUAUUGAAAAAGAUCCUGCCCAUACAAAAAGACUUCAGAGGAAAAUGGAUGCCGAAUUGGGAAAGGCCUUAUGUGGUGAAAAAAGCCUUUUCUGGCGGAGCAUUGAUAUUAGCUGAAAUGGAUGGCAAGACCUUAUCCAAUCCCGUGAAUUCGGAUUCGGUUAAGAAAUACUUCGCCUAAAAAAAAAGAGAGGCUAGGGUGAAAACUCGCAAAGAGCACCUUGAGACCAAAGGGCUUUUGAAUUGAAAACCCGUAAAGGGCGAUUCAAAUUUUGAUCAAAGGUGAGGCAUGCAAUGGUCUUAUGGUACCUAAGUUAACAAGGAGGAGAGAUGUUACAUCUUGGGGCAUCUGCAAGAGUACUCUAGAUCCCCUAAACACAUAUUGGGCAAAAAAAAAAGGAGUCCUCAAGAAGUCAGUACAGAGAAACUCACGCUGUGAUAUCUGGGGCACCUAUUCCCUUUUAUUCAUUUUGUAUUCCAGUAAUGUUUGUUGACUGUGAUUAAUCUAUUCCCUUCAAAUGUUGUUUCUGAUAAAUUUCAGUUUUGUCAUUGUUAUGAUCUUUUUCAAGCAUUUUGCAUUGAAAUGAUGAUUAAUGGACUAAAGCCAUUUUCGCAAAAAGAGUUCUGCAUAUUACUCUGAAAGUUUCUAAAUAGUACAGGAACCUGAAACAGGACUAUUUUUUUAGAACUAACCAAACUCAAAGAUUGGAAACAUCUGAGAAGAAAGAGUUUAAAUUGGGACUACCUCUUUGGGUCUUCUGUUCAAAAUUUGAGCUGAACAAAAAGACAGGGUACCAUUUCAGUGAAGGAACCUUGAUGAACAAAGAGCAAUGGCAGCCUAAACAGGGAUUCACGCUCACAACAUGCUGCAUUCAUACAUUCAUAGAUCAUUCAUAAUACAUCUAAUUAGGAGCAUUUGAUUCACUUUAAUCAUAGCAUCCUAAUUCUUUGGCAUAAGCAUAAAUACAUGGAACUGAUUCUACAGGUCAUGUCCCUAGAAUCAGUGAAUUCACCAAGCCUUAAACCCCUAAGUAGUAGGGUAACAGGUUAAAUUUACAGACCUUAACCCCCUAAGCAGUAGGGUAAUAAGCUGAAAAUUACAGAUCUUGUCUCCCUGAAGUUACAGUGGAACAGAUCGAAUCCAGCAAGUCUCAUCUCUCUGAAGUUGCAGUGGAGUAGACUGAAGAUUUACAGAUCUUACCCCUAAGCAGUAGGGAAACAGAUCGAAAGUGAUGGGCUUCAACCCCCUAAGCAAUAGGGUAACAAGCCAAAUUUUCAAACCUUAAACCCCUAAGCAGUAGGGUAACAGGUUGAAUUUACAGAUUUAAACCCCUAAGCAGCAGGGAAACAGGUCGAGCUUUAACCCCUAAGCAGUAGGGUAACAAGCUGAAUUUUGAAGAUCUUAUCAACCUAAGCAGCAGGAAAGCAGAUCAAAAGACGGUGAGUCUUGUCUUCCUGAAGUUACAGUGAAGCAAACUGAAGUUACAAGUCUCAUCUCCCCGAAGUCCCAGUGGGGUAGACUGGAUAUCUACAGAUCUUAUCACCCUAAGCAGUAGGGAAACAGAUCAAAUGCAAUGGGUCUUAAACCCCUAAGCAGUAGGGUAACAGACCAAAUUGCAGAUCUUAUCUCCCUCAGUAGCAGGGAAACAGAUCGAAGGUAAAAGAGCCUUAAACCCCUAAGCAGUAGGGUAACUAGCUGAAUUUAUAGAUCUUACCUCCCUAAGCAGUAGUGGAGCAGAUCAAAGACGAUGAGCCUUGACCCCUAAGUAGCAGGGUAACAUGCUGAAAAUUAUAGAUUCUAUCUUCCUGAAAUAGCACUAGAGAGGUUCGAAGCCACAGUAGAUCUCCUAGAAGUUUCAGCGGAGUAGAUUGAAGUCACAAGUCUUAUCUCUUUGAAGCUGCAAGUGGAGCAGACUGAAGAUAGCAAAUCUUAUUUCUCUGAAGCUGCAAUGGAGCAAAUUAAAGUAGCAAGAUGCACUAGGCUGAACGAUGUCACCUAAAGAAGAGGAGCACCCAAAGAAGUCAAGAUUCGACAUGGCUGGGCCAAACUAGUCUUUCCUAAGAGUCUUUGCUUUGUUCUCGUUUCACGGCAACAAGCAAAGAGGGGCAGCUGUACAAGCCCAUUUGACCCUCCCUAGCCCAAAACCUAUUUCCUAACCCUCAAGCCCAAUACCCAAACAAAAGCCCAAAUAACUCCCGGGCCCAAAUAACCUUAACCCUAGCCUAAAUUAACAAAUCAGAAACAAAAGGACAAAAAAAACCUAGCUGCUGCCUCCCCGUGCCAGGUCUGCCACCGUCUGUCACGUUCACCGCCUCACCGCCCAAAUUGCACCUGCAAGCAUUAAUAGGAGUGGACAGAAGCAAGAAAGAUAAUGGCAUACUCGGCUAUAUAUAGCCAAAUAGAAUGUAAAAAGGGACCUUUUUUUUUUCUCUUUUAUUCAAAAACAAAUAGCCUCAAUAUACAAAAUUUCAGCAAGAAACAUCACAAACCGAAGCAAAGGUCUAUAUACUUUCCUUUUUUAUUUUUAUUUUUUCUCUUCUUUUGUCGAAUUUGUUU
rnacentral:lncRNA from 1 species